CGCAUGCGGGGCCGGGCAGGCGGGCGGGCAGCGGGCGGGGGCCGCGCGCGCUGGCACUUACGGUUCGGGCGGUGGGUGAGAGCGAUCCGUUGGGGAGCCGUGGCCCCGCUCGCACUCUCCGGCCGCCCGGCCCCGCAUGCGGCGCCCGUCGCCCCCCGAGCCCCGACUCCUCGCCUUCCAGCCACGUUUGCCCAGCCCGGGGAAGAGAUCGAAACCCCGGCAGCCCGAGGGGCUCUUCCUACCUCGGAAUCGGAGGAGCUGUUCUGAUUCGUUUCUGAUUCAUUGACUAGCGACGACUUGACAUCGGCUAAAUCCCUCUCCGCCGAGGAGUUUUCCGAGCUCUUCUCCUCCUGCUCGCCCUCGUCUUUGAAGGAGAUCAGUUCGUCGUUGGCGCCUAGGUCAUCUCCUCCACCGCCGUUCAGCUGCGGCAUUUUUUUUUGUCACCCACCAGCAGCAAUUUUGGAAGAAAAAUGAAGGAAGAAGAAAAGCCAGAAAAAUAAUAAUAAACCACCUCCCCCCC